rnacentral:rRNA from 1 species
UCAGUAAUCUUCUCUCCGUCCCCUCGGAGGGGUCAAUUAUGGGGGUAAGCCUUCCCAACCCCUUGGGAACAUACCUAUAAAAAUUGGUUCGGCGGGCAGGGUGUCCGCGACCCUCCCGGCCUCCCGCCUCCGGGCGGGUCGGCGCCCGCCGGAGGAUAACCAAACUCUGAUUUAACGACGUUUCUUCUGAGUGGUACAAGCAAAUAAUCAAAACUUUUAACAACGGAUCUCUUGGUUCUGGCAUCGAUGAAGAACGCAGCGAAAUGCGAUAAGUAAUGUGAAUUGCAGAAUUCAGUGAAUCAUCGAAUCUUUGAACGCACAUUGCGCCCGCCAGCAUUCUGGCGGGCAUGCCUGUUCGAGCGUCAUUUCAACCCUCAAGCUCUGCUUGGUGUUGGGGCCCUACAGCUGAUGUAGGCCCUCAAAGGUAGUGGCGGACCCUCUCGGAGCCUCCUUUGCGUAGUAACUUUACGUCUCGCACUGGGAUCCGGAGGGACUCUUGCCGUAAAACCCCCAAUUUUCCAAUAGGUUGACGGUCGGAUCAGUCUUGCUAGUGGGCGCCUGCCUGUUUGA